UACGGAAGGCAGCAGUGGGGAAUAUUGCACAAUGGGCGCAAGCCUGAUGCAGCCAUGCCGCGUGUAUGAAGAAGGCCUUCGGGUUGUAAAGUACUUUCAGUCGUGAGGAAGGUGUUAAGGUUAAUAACCUUAGCAAUUGACGUUAGCGACAGAAGAAGCACCGGCUAACUCCGUGCCAGCAGCCGCGGUAAUACGGAGGGUGCGAGCGUUAAUCGGAAUUACUGGGCGUAAAGGGCACGCAGGCGGUUAAUUAAGUUGGAUGUGAAAUCCCCGGGCUUAACCUGGGAAUGGCAUUCAAGACUGGUUAGCUAGAGUCUUGUAGAGGGGGUUAGAAUUCCAUGUGUAGCGGUGAAAUGCGUAGAGAUGUGGAGGAAUACCGGUGGCGAAGGCGGCCCCUGGACAAAGGACUGACGCUCAUGUGCGAAAGCGUGGGGAGCAAACG
rnacentral:rRNA from 1 species